rnacentral:rRNA from 1 species
AUUGAACGCUGGCGGCAGGCCUAACACAUGCAAGUCGAGCGGGGUUUUCGGACCUAGCGGCGAACGGGUGAGUAAUGCGUAGGAAGCUGCCCGAUAGAGGGGGAUACCAGUUGGAAACGACUGUUAAUACCGCAUAAUGUCUACGGACCAAAGUGUGGGACCUUCGGGCCACAUGCUAUCGGAUGCGCCUACGUGGGAUUAGCUAGUUGGUGAGGUAAUGGCUCACCAAGGCGACGAUCUCUAGCUGGUUUGAGAGGAUGAUCAGCCACACUGGAACUGAGACACGGUCCAGACUCCUACGGGAGGCAGCAGUGGGGAAUAUUGGACAAUGGACGCAAGCCUGAUCCAGCCAUGCCGCGUGUGUGAAGAAGGCCUUCGGGUUGUAAAGCACUUUCAGCGAGGAGGAAGGGGUAGUAGUUAAUAGCUGCUACUUUCGACGUUACUCGCAGAAGAAGCACCGGCUAACUCUGUGCCAGCAGCCGCAGUAAGAC